rfam:Camelus ferus unplaced genomic scaffold scaffold940, whole genome shotgun sequence.
GGGGGUAUAGCUCAGUGAUAGAGCAUGUGCUUGGCUUGUAUGAGGUCCUGGGUUCAAUCCCCAGUGACUCCA